rnacentral:rRNA from 1 species
GACGAACGCUGGCGGCGUGCCUAAUACAUGCAGGUCGAGCGGACUAGCGUUUCCUUCGGGAAACGCGGGUUAGCGGCGGACGGGUGAGUAACACGUGGGUAACCUGCCUUUAAGACUGGGAUAACAUUCGGAAACGGAUGCUAAUACCGGAUAAACGAUUUGGUCGCAUGAUCGAAUCGAGAAAGAUGGAGCAAUCUAUCACUUAGAGAUGGACCCGCGGCGCAUUAGCUAGNGGU